rnacentral:rRNA from 1 species
UGCCUACGGGGGGCAGCAGUGGGGAAUAUUGAACAAUGGGGGAAACCCUGAUGCGGCGACGCCGCGUGAGUGAAGAAGUAUUUCGGUAUGUAAAGCUCUAUCAGCAGGGAAGAAAAUGACGGUACCUGACUAAGAAGCCCCGGCUAACUACGUGCCAGCAGCCGCGGUAAUACGUAGGGGGCAAGCGUUAUCCGGAUUUACUGGGUGUAAAGGGUGCGUAGGUGGCAGGGCAAGUCAGAUGUGAAAGGCCGGGGCUUAACCC